GCGAGUUCUCGUCAGAAAGACCACUGGG
rnacentral:piRNA from 1 species